UGGGCUGACAUACAACUCGAAGAAUGCAGACGAUAUUCACCAUAUUCUGUGACCUUGAAUCAGCACUUGAACCCCUCCAAACUUCGUUUUUCUCAUUUAAGCAUGAAAGUAAAUCGUUCAUAUGCUGUUUAGAGAAGACAAAGAAGAAAUUGUUCAAAUGUACAAAAGGAAUUUCUUGCAAUAGCUUUGUGGAAAUGAUGAUUUUGAAGAUGUUUAGUUUAUGAUAUCAAAAAAGAGAAUUCAUAGCUGAUGUAGGUAAAGGUAAAAGAGAAGAAAAAGGAUAAAGGCAUCUUCAUAAAAGUGAAUCCAUUGAAGAGUAGAGUUACUGAAAAUAACCAAUGGGAACAGUGUGAAGGUGAAGAAUAGAGUACCUACUUGGAUAAGUCAACUAAUUCCAGUACUCAAAACAGUAAAAAGAUCACACACUCUAGGCCGAAAUGCUGCCCUGCUGAGGCUUAACAUUCUUCUGCUCCAUAAGUUAUUCUGAUAUCAGCAAAGUACUCCUCCAUGGGUUAUUCUGAUGAUCAACAAAUUACUCAGAAAACCAAGGGAGAGGGAAGAGGCUUCUCCACUCUGAUGCUAAUGUGUUGGUACCAUUCUACUAGGUUCCAGGAACUACCCCAAGUUCUUUUAUUUAUUAUCUCCAGUUUUAAUGUCGGAAGCAUGGAUAUGUUUUUUAAAAAGUGUGAAGACUCUGAUGCCUACAUACUGUGAUUGGUGGAUCUGAGAACAUGAGGGUGAUGUAGGAGGAAUUUCUUCAUAUACUGUCUGAUGAUAAACUAAGAAUCCCAUUUAUGCAGCUGGUAUUACUCAACACAGUUUCUCUCUCCUUUACAGAAGACACCAUGGAAAGCAUAGGAAUGAGCCAAGUGUUAUUUCUGAUACAUGGUGUAUGACAGUUCAAAAUCAUUAUUUGUCCCUUCUGGGCUUCCUUCCCUUCACCAUAACGAGUUUGUUUAUAUAGAAUUAUAUGGGAUCAAGUUUCUCAAUGUCAGUGAAAGCCAUCUGACUAUACUAUAAUGUAUCGUAUUUGGUCAUAAGAAUGUUCUUGUUCCUUUUAUGCUGUAUCUAAUGUGUUCUCAUCCAUAAGGAAUAAUAGGAAAUUCCCAAGAAAUAGAAGUUGACUGAAACUAAAUUUUAAUAUUGACCUUGAUGGAUUCUAGAAUCACACUAGAGGCAAACUACUGGGCGUAUCUGAGUCAGUUUCUAUAUUGCGAUAAGGUCAGACAGUCUAUAUUAAAAGCAGGCAAUACUGUCCCAUGGGCCCUGAACCAAACUGAAAAAAAGCAGAAAGUGAUCUCAACAUCAGCAUUCAUCUCUCUCUGGCUCCUGACUUCUGAUACAAUGUGAUCAGCUGCCUCAUGCUCCUCUAGCCAAGCCUUCCCAGACAUUGUGUACUUUACUCUCCAUCUGUGAACCAAAUAAACCGUACCUUUCUUAA